rnacentral:rRNA from 1 species
AGUCAUAUGCUUGUCUCAAAGACUAAGCCAUGCAUGUCUAAGUACAUGCCGAAAUAAGGUGAAACCGCGAAUGGCUCAUUAAAUCAGUUAUGGUUUCUUAGAUCGUACUUUUUUACUUGGAUAACUGUGGUAAUUCUAGAGCUAAUACAUGCAGCAGAGCUCCGACCUUCGGGAACGAGCGCUUUUAUUAGACCAAGACCAAUCGGGCUUCGGCCCGCUUACCAUGGCGACUCUGGAUAACUUUGGGCAAAUCGCACGAUCUCGUAUCGGCGAUGUUUCUUUCAAGUGUCUGCCUUAUCAACUUUCGAUGGUAGGCUACGCGCCUACCAUGGUCGUAACGGGUAACGGGGAAUCAGGGUUCGAUUCCGGAGAGGGAGCCUGAGAAACGGCUACCACAUCCAAGGAAGGCAGCAGGCGCGCAAAUUACCCACUCCCGGCACGGGGAGGUAGUGACGAAAAAUAACAAUACGGGACUCUUUUGAGGCCCCGUAAUUGGAAUGAGUACACUCUAAAUCCUUUAACGAGGAUCCAUUGGAGGGCAAGUCUGGUGCCAGCAGCCGCGGUAAUUCCAGCUCCAAUAGCGUAUAUUAAAGUUGUUGCGGUUAAAAAGCUCGUAGUUGAAUCUCAGUUCCAGACAGGCGGUCCGCUCCGGUGGUUACUGCCUGGCCUGAACAUCCUGCCGGUUUUCCUUCGGUACUCUUGAUUGAGCGUCGUAGGUGCCCGGCACGUUUACUUUGAAAAAAUUGGAGUGCUCAAAGCAGGCGUCCCGCCUGAAUAAUGGUGCAUGGAAUAAUGAAAGAGGACUUCGAGUUCUAUUGUGUUGGUUUUCGGAACACGAGG